GCGGGUGUAAUUCAGUGGUAGAAUGGCAGCUUCCCAAGCUGUCUAUGGCGGUUCGAUUCCGCUCACCCGCU
rnacentral:tRNA from 1 species